GACGAACGCUGGCGGCGUGGAUUAGGCAUGCAAGUCGAACGGUAUAAACCUUUCGGGGUUUAGAGAGUGGCGAACGGGUGAGUAACACGUAGGUAAUCUACCCUCAAAACGGGGACAACCCAGGGAAACUUGGGCUAAUACCGGAUGCGUGCAAGCAAUGUUUUGGCUGUUAAUGCUAUUCACGGAAGUGAGUAGUGUUAAUGGUUGAGAGCAUUAUUUGCAUAAAAGGUGGCAUAUGCUGCCGUUUGAGGAUGAGCCUGCGUCCUAUUAGUUAGUUGGUGAGGUAAUGGCUUACCAAGGCGAUGAUAGGUAGGCGGCCUUAACGGGUGGUCGCCCACACUGGGAUUGAGAGACGGCCCAGACUCCUACGGGAGGCAGCAGUGGGGAAUAUUGCACAAUGGGCGAAAGCCUGAUGCAGCGACGCCGCGUGAAGGAUGAAGGUCUUCGGAUUGUAAACUUCUAUCAGCAGGGAAGAAAGGGCCUAUGGCCUAUGACGGUACCUGACU
rnacentral:rRNA from 1 species